GUGUGAGGAGUGCAGAUGAAGGACACAGCAGAAGCACUGGCCUUGGGAUCAUUUCUUGGAACAACUGAAGCAGCUCAGGCAAAAGAAAGGAUAUGUGUAAGCUCUGUCUAAGAAGAAAGGCAGAGGGUGAAGUUCAAGAAGCCCUGCUAGCCCUGGGAGGGGCAGUCCCUUCAGGAUCAGCAAGGCCCCAAGAUGUCAAAACAUCAAAAAUACAGUAAAUAAAAAAGCAUGAUUAAUACAGACAGCAAGCUUCUAAGGAUGGGAACAAAGGGGAGUGGUGGGGAGUAGGGAAGAAGCAAAGGUUUAGAUGCAGGUAAGAGGAACAGAGACAGACUGAGAGGAUAGCUGUGUUUCAAAGUGUGAGUGUAUGUUUUUAUGUUUUAAAGAAAGAAAGAGGCCAGGCGCGGUGGCUCAUGCCUGUAAUCCCAGCACUUUGGGAGGCUGAGGCAGGUGGAUCACCUGAGCUCAGGAGUUCGAGAUGAGCCUGGCCAAUGUGGAGAAACCCCACCUCUAUGAAAACCACAAGAAUUAGCCAGGCGUGGUGGCACACCUGUAAUCCCAGCUACUCUGGAGGCUGAGGUGGGAGAAUCACUUGAACCUGGGAGGUGGAGGUUGCAGUGAAUUAAGAUCGCACCACUGCACUCCAGCCUGAGUGAUAGAGCAAGACUCCAUACCAAAAAAAAAAAAAAAAAAAAAAAAAAGAGAGAGAGAGAGAAAGAGAAAGAGAGAUGGCAGCUGCAACAAGGAAUGAAACAUUGGACAAAGAACCAGGACAAGUAGAGGAAAUGCUCAGGACACUUUGCUGCAUGACAGACAUCCAAAUCAUGCAGAUGUGUUGACAAACACCAGUCCAAGGACACAAACCUGCAUCUUACCCAGCCUCUCAGCAUCAAACACUUUUGCAUGGCACCAAGUAGGAUCAUCUCAGGAAAUGUGUGUUCAAUGAGUUCCAGAGGAGAUUAGCGAUGAAAUACCAAACCCUUACCCAGAACACUUUGUAGAAGCACCACCUUGGCUUUGAAGUCCCAGGACUCACCUGGUAUGAAAUCCCCCUUUUACAGAGGAGCUCCAUGAGGUCAAAUGAUUUACCCAAGAUCAUAAAGGUAAAUGGUGGAACAGAGCUGUGAAGCCCAAGUUCAUCUGACUUCAAUACCUGGACAUGCAAGCAUUAAUUUCAGAUAUCUAAACUUCAGGUAAGAUGCGUCCCUGAACAUGUUUUUCCAGAAGACAAGGAAGCGAUUGUUCUAGAUGAGAACCCAAGGGAAGUCCAUAAAGCCAGAGAGUCCUUUUAAAGCAUAAGUGCAGUUAAGUGACACUAGGAGAUGAAGCAAUUCUUAGUGUAUUAGCAUGUGUGUAUGGAUGGGUGCACAUACGUGUUGCUGCAUGUACAGGUGCAUUACCAAGGCUAUGCCCCUUUUGCUAUUGGUUAGUUUUAUUUGCUCCAUAUACAUGCAUUGCAGAUAGGUUGGUAGACAGACAAACAGACUUACAUAUAUGCAGAUGGACAGAUUAAGGGGGAAGGGGUCAUAAAGGCAUCUCAACUACCCUGGUGGUUGACUCUAAUAAAACAGCUCUGUUGGAAUAAUGCAGUGUCUGAGAGAUGGGGUGUAAUAUGGUUAAAUGCUUUUACAGUUCCCCAUUAAAGUAAGAGGAUG
rnacentral:lncRNA from 1 species